CUACAUAAUUAUUUUCUCUCUCUCUCUCUCUCUCUCUAUUCAAAUAUUCUCAAAGAAAGAGAGAGAGAGAGAGAGAGAGAGAGAGAGAGAGAG
rnacentral:pre_miRNA from 12 species